AAACAGGAUUUUUUUUGUACAGUAUAGAACAAAAGUGAGCACACUCAUGAGUUAUGUCACUCAGUUGUGAAAUUAUUCCAUACUGCAUUGUCUCUCAAUAAUUGCAUUAUUUCUAGGUUUUGCAGUAGAGUAUUUGUUGUUAUGAACAAGUCUUUUACAAAGACUGAAGUGAAUCUACUUGUGAUCACUGAAACUAAACUUACUAAACCUGUGAUUUCCAGUCAGUCUAACUGCAUGAACAUGGUUCUAGAAUGAGCUGUGACCAGAACUUUCUCAGGUUUGGACCUAUUGGCUAUGCAGCCAUCAUCCUCCUAAAAUGACUCCACAGACAGAGUUUUAAUGAAGCUCAGACAGUGUAAAGGACACUUCAUAGCAUCAACCUUUAUGGAUGGAGAACAAGAAAAAAACAUUGUUUGUUCACCACAAAAUAGCAACAUGAAACUUUGCUAAAAAACAUAAAAAGUAACUUGAUGAAUGUCAGGAGCACAUUCUUUGAUCAUGUCAGAUCCAUUUAUUGAGAUCAGAUGGAGUCCAGCAUGUUUGGUGUGAACCAGACCAGGACUACCACAGUGAACGAACAGUCCUGAUAGUCCUGAUAAUGAAGCAUGGAGGUGGGUGUGGUGAUAUGAAGCAGCACAACUGCCAACAGAGUUGGGAGAUUUAAGAAUGCACCAUGAAUGUCUGUGAAUAAACCAAAAUACUGACUGACAAGGUGACUCCCAGUCUGCAGAAGCUUGAAGAAGAGGAAUAUCACAGCAGGAGAACAUGGUCUCAGUGAUGCAACAAAUGAAAUUGGAAUAAUGACAAAGAUGUAAAUUUCUGUCUGUGGUCGGGCAGGAAGUGCCUAAAUCUGGAGAGACACACCUUCAGUCUGACUCUGAGUCAGUGCUGAGAGACUCUGAGAACUCCUGGAAACCGAGCCCACAGAAAAAACUGAUGUCAAACCUUCUGAGAACCCAACAGCCGGCUGGUUUCCUCAGAAGACACUUUGAUUCAGGAUGGACAGAGGAUAAAUAUCAGCAUCAGCAGCAUGAAGGCUUCACAUCACAUCAUUCACAGGACAAGACCAGUGGACCAGACUGAAGUCUCCCAGCUGCUGCACACCUCCAUCUCAAGGCAACAAUGCAUUGUGGGUACCUGCGUUUCCUGUUUCUGGUGCUGUGGGCGGAGCUUGCAGCAGGUAAAGCGUUACCUACCGACAGACCAGACACUGAAAUGCAAAGCAUCAUUGAGGACCUGCUGGCGGCGCUGCAAAACUAUAGUCGUGUCCUCAGAGAGACGGACUCCCUGAGAGAUCUGCCAGUACAGCCCUGCACAGAGGCUCCUGCUCACCUGACCCAGAGCUUGACUGUGGCCAGCAGACUGUUGCACUAUAAGAACUGUGCUGAGAAGCUCCGAGCCUUCUGUCCAGACAACAGCGCUCUGUGUCGAGUCGUGGUCCUGAACCAGGACCUGCUGCAACACCUGAAAGGAACAGACGAGGACUCUGCAGAUUGUUCCACCUCGUCCCCCCUGUCCUCCUCUUCGCUCCCUUUGUUGGACUUCACUUCCACCUGUCAAUCACUGCAGUGUGUUGAGUGCUGGAACCAGCAGGUGGCAGCACUGCGCAGAUAACUAAUAAUAAUCUAAUGUAUUAUACAUAUAUAUAUAUAUAUAUAUAUAUAUAUAUAUAUAUAUAUAUAUAUAUAUAUAUAUAUAUAUAUAU
ensembl:lncRNA